rnacentral:rRNA from 1 species
GACGAACGCUGGCGGCGUGCCUAAUACAUGCAAGUCGAACGCAGUGGGGACGGGUGAGUAACACGUGGGUAACCUCCCAUCAGACGGGAUAACACUUGGAAACAGGUGCUAAACCGAUACUGAUGGAUGGACCCGCGGUGGAUUAGCUAGUUGGUGGGGUAACGGCUUACCUAGGCCACGAUGCAUAGCCGGCCUGAGAGGUGGAUCGGCCACACUGGGACUGAGACACGGCCCAGACUCCUACGGGAGGCAGCAGUAGGGAAUCUUGGGCAAUGGACGAAAGUCUGACCGAGCAACGCCGCGUGAGUGAAGAAGGUUUUCGGGUCGUAAAGCACUGUUGUUAGAGAAGCGGUAUCUAACCAGAAAGCCACGGCUAACUACGUGCCAGCAGCCGCGGUAAUUC